UGACUAUCCGUUAGCAUAAGGCGGCUUUGACUAUCCGUUAGCAUAAGGCUAGUUUUACUCUGACGUGGGCUUGUAUGCACUUUAAAAUCAUAGGUUUGGACUAUCUUCUGUCUCUUCUGACCAGCAUGGGACUGUUUUAGGAUUGUUUGAUCACCAUGUUGUCUGCUGUGUUUUGAUCAACCCUCUAUCUCACUGUACAAUUCCUCCUUGUCCUCGUCUCCUUUCCUCUUCCUGUCUUCUCUCCAGUCCGCAAGAGGCGAGUGGAGGGGGACCAGUAAGGGGCGGAGCCUGUCCUGUCUCCCAGCCUGUCCCGUCGUCUCAUCUCGCCGUAUGGAAUACAUUUUUCAGCCAAUCCCCUGGUCUCAUCUCACCGUGGCGUGCGUGUGGACGUUGUGCCAAAACCCGGAGCAAGGCGCCCUCAACCAGACYGGGACUGAGUCACAAAUGGCACCCUUGUUCCCUACGUAGUGUACUACUUUUGACCAGAGCCCUAGGGGCUGUGAUCGUGUACUAUAGAGAAUAGGGUUCCAUUUGAGACUCAGCUAACAUCAUCUAUCUGAGAAGAAGAGAAAUAACUGGAAUAACCCUCUCCUCUAGUACCUACAUAUCUAUACAUACAUGUUGUUGUUGUUAUUAUUGUUUAUUAUACUAUUGUUAGAACUACAGCUGUACAUCUUAUUGUUGAGUUUUUUUCAGUUCAUUUCAGGCGCUUUUUUCUUUUCUCUGAAUGAUUUAUUUUCUUUCUUUUUUUACUGUGUUUAGAGCAACAUGAACAGUACUGUAACCUAACCAAGUAACCAUGGGUUUAAACAUACUAUCCUAACCUCUGACCUCUAACCCCUACAGUGGUGUAGGGCCCUGACCUCUAACCCCUACAGGGGUACGGGACAGGCCUCCCUAGCUAGACUGCUGUAUCUCUUGGUUCUGAUAUGUAGAUCGGUGCUUCCUAGACAGGGGGAAGAGAGAGUCAGGACCCACUGGUCACCUCUAGCAGACUGGUUCACCUGGUAGGCCUGUCUGUUAACCUCCAUGGGUUGGCCUGGUAGGCCUGUCUGUUAACUCCUGGGGUGGAUGUGGUGGGUUGUCCUGGUAGGGCUGUCUGUUAACCUCCUGGGGUUGAUGUGGUGGUUGUCCUGGUAGGCCUGUCUGUUAACCUCCUGGGGUUGAUGUGGUGGGUUGUCCUGGAAGGGCUGUCGUUAACCUCCUGGGGUUGAUGUGGUGGGUUGUCCUGUCUGUUAACCUCCUGGGGUUGAUGUGGUGGUUGUCUGGUAGGCCUGUCUGUUAACCUCCUGGGGUGGAUGUGGUGGGUUGUCCUGGUAGGCCUGUCUGUUAGCCUCCUGGGGUGGAUGUGGUGGGUUGUCCUGGUAGGCCUGUCUGUUAACCUCCUGGGGUUGAUGUGGUGGGUUGUCCUGGUAGGGCUGUCUGUUAGCCUCCUGGGGUUGAUGUGGUGGGUUGUCCUGGUAGGGCUGUCUGUUAGCCUCCUGGGGUGGAUGUGGUGGGUUGUCCUGGUAGGCCUGUCUGUUAACCUCCUGGGGUUGAUGUGGUGGGUUGGUGCAGCUGUAGUGAACUCUGAGGAGUGUAUGAGAACAGCUGCCUCUCUGGAAAAGUCUCAAGCCCUGAAGAACGUUUAUAGAUGUCUUAAUACUGUCGUAAAGAAUUUAAAGUCUUAAAGAAUUAAACAAGUCUUACAAUUAAUAAUACGGUGGUUCUCUUUCAAUCUCAACAGUUUUUUUUUUUUAUCGAUUCAGACUCAGAUUUAAUGUGUUUAUUUUAUUUCCCUCUUUAUGUCACUGGGAAACGUAUGUGGAUGUUAUUUAACCAAGUAAAUAUGAUGAGGUUUUUAAUCCACGGUGA